rnacentral:tRNA from 1 species
UCCCUGGAGGACUAGUGGUUAGGCCUCAACACGCUUACUGACGUGGCCUGAGUUUGAUUCCUAGCCAGGGAA